GGACUACACGGGUAUCUAAUCCUGUUUGCUCCCCUAGCUUUCGCGCCUCAGCGUCAGGUUUGGCACAGAAAACCGUCUUCACCACCGGUAUUCUUCCACAUAUCUACGCAUUUCACCGCUACACGUGGAAUUCUGUUUUCCCUUACCAACCUCUAGUCUGAAAGUUUCAAAUGCAGCUCCGGGGUUGAGCCCCGGAAUUUCACAUCAGACUUUUCAAACCGCCUACGCGCCCUUUACGCCCAGUCAAUCCGAUCAAUGCUUGCACCCUCCGUAUUACCGCGGCUGCUGGCAC
rnacentral:rRNA from 1 species